GCCGACCUGGCGGAACUGGUAGACGCGCCAGAUUUAGGUUCUGGUACCUUGUGUGUGGGAGUUCGAGUCUCCCGGUCGGCACCA
rnacentral:tRNA from 1 species